GGAGCGGCCGGGGUGCGCGGUAAAGAUGGGGCGGCGCGGCCGGGGCUCGCCAGCACCAGCCCUGGAACCCCAUGGGGGACCUCGACAACAGCGCCUUUGCGGCGUGGGCCCCUUUCUGCAGCUCCUCCACCCGCGCGCUGUCGGCUCCGGGACACUGGGGCUUUGAAGGGCGCCAGUUCCCAGCCGCACCUGCACGCCUAGGAGGGCGCAGGCCGCGUGUCCCUGUGGGAGGAAGGCCCCGGCAACCUGCAAAGACCUCACGUCACAGAAACUUGCGGCGUUUGCCCCCGAUGCGCGCGUCAGGUGCUCCGUCCCUUCCAGGUGGCAGAGGAGAGGGAAGGGUCGCGCCUGGUGGGGGCCUGAGAGCCACCGGGCUGCGGUGCGCGAGUGUGGACACCGCCCCGCCUUCUGCGUCUACAGCCCUGGGUUCUGGGACCUUUGGAAACCGCUUUGGACGAAGCUGAGCAUCUCUUUCCCCACGCUGACCUCCCCCAUAGACUCCGGAUGGGAGUAAAUGAGGCUCCUGGGAAAUCCAGAAACUCUAGAGAAGCUUGUUUGCCAAACCUUGCUUUGGGCGGUGGAGACAGAAUAUCAUGUCCCAGAUCAGCGUGUGGUGACUGUGGAGGCAUUUACACACAGCACACUCCAGCUCUGCCACUGGGCCGGCUGAGGUGGCUGCGGUACACGGCGCCCAUCCUGAGCCCCAGGUUCCUCACAUGUCAACAGCAUGAAAAGUGCCUCUAAGACAUCCACAGGUGUGCAGUGUUAAAGCAGGCAGCGCCUCAGCUUGGUUAGCUCCCUUAAGGACUGCGGCUCCCUUAGGACAAGGCUCUGUCCCUCAGAGCACUGAGUGCGAUCUCAUGCUGGCAUCUUAGAGACAUUGUAUUCACCAGGUAAGAUGGAUUCACAUCUGCUGGGUGCACGAACACUUCCUCCUUCCUUGCCACCAGCCAGCAUCACAACCAGCCUGGCCAGGCUCCCGUCCCAGCCCAGCCUAGCAGCUAACCCCAGCUCCAUCCCCCAGCAAGCCCCUCUGCCUGCACCUCAGCUUCUUCAUGGAAGACGAGUCAGGUCAUGAUGCCACCAGGGAGCGUGUUUCCAUGUUGAACUGAGACACUAAGCCCUUGACAAAUGUUGGCCAAGAAAAAAAAGGGGCUCCAAGAGGGGAGCUGUGGCUCAGGUAGAAGACGGUGAAUGAGCAUUGCCUGAAUCAGAGUUAGCUACUCUGGUUACACAGGUGUCCCCGGCAGGUUGGUCAAAAGCCCUUCCCUGAGUCCCGUGAUAAGUGUGGGGAGGGAGGCAAAUCAAAGACCCCUACACACCUCCUGCAUGGAUGGCCAGAGCGCUGGUCCCACCUCCUUCCUUCCAAACUGCAACCCCGAUCAGCACAGCAGAGAAGUCUCCUGUGGCAGGGACCAGUAAUUCAGUGCUUCCCCUGGAGAGUCUGGGAUUGCACAGAACACCAGAGGCUGGGGAUUUAUUUGUUCACCAACAUUCAUUCAACAAACACUUACUGAGGCCAACACUGGGAAUGGAGACGAACUUCCCUGUCCUCAUGGAGCUUGCUUUCAAAAGGGAAGGAGGCAGACAGUAAACAAAACAAGCAAGUCAAUAUACAGCAUGAUGCAGAAAAGGUGUGAUGCCACCCUCUUGCCUGAGUUUAUAACAAGCAGAUGAUGUUGUCCUAAGAAUUAAUUUCAGCCGGUGAAAGAGUACAGGCAAAAAACGUGGUCUCGGACUUUCCGGUGAUGCUUAAGAACAUAGUUGCAGUUUUUGUUCUGAUUCUUUGUGCAUCUCGCGCUAAUGAAGGAUUCUGCCAUGAUUGCCACCUCUGGAGACGUCACAGCCAGCACAGCCAUGACCAGGGAUGAACUUGGCCAUUGUCCAGCAGCACCAUGGGAGGACCAGCUGCUGUAAGUGAAGGUCAUCAUCCAUCUGAUUUGCUGGCUUUUUGCAACUACUGCGGUGGAAGUCUUAGAGUAGCCACCUUCUCUGUACUCAGACCUUCACUUCGCCAGAUGUCAGCACAGCAGUGUCAGCAGCUUCGUCAAACACAAACACCACCACCUCUCUGGAUCAGAAGCACAUGGAAAGCCCACCUUGCAAGAAGACCCAGCUAUUCCAAAAGUACCCAUAUCCCUGUAGCAUCCUCUUAGCUGAAUGUCUCUACUCCUUAAACUUGUACCACUUUGAAGAGUAAAAAUUUAAAUUCAUUCA
rnacentral:lncRNA from 1 species